rnacentral:tRNA from 1 species
GGAGCGGCAGGGGCCUGGUGGCCCAUCCGGUCUUCAAAACCGGCAGGGCGCUGUAGCCCGGCGCUUGGAAGGUUCGACUCCUUCGCCGCUCCG